GUCUACGGUCCUGCCACCCUGAAUGGGCCCAAUGUCUGAUCUUGGAAGCUAAACAGGGUUGGGCCUGGUUAGUACUUGGAUGGGAAACCACGUAGGAAGACCAGGUGCUGUCUUAA
rnacentral:rRNA from 1 species